rnacentral:rRNA from 1 species
GAUGAACGCUGGCGGCGUGCCUAAUACAUGCAAGUCGAGCGAACGGACGAGAAGCUUGCUUCUCUGAUGUUAGCGGCGGACGGGUGAGUAACACGUGGAUAACCUACCUAUAAGACUGGGAUAACUUCGGGAAACCGGAGCUAAUACCGGAUAAUAUUUUGAACCGCAUGGUUCAAAAGUAAAAGACGGUCUUGCUGUCACUUAUAGAUGGAUCCGCGCUGCAUUAGCUAGUUGGUAAGGUAACGGCUUACCAAGGCAACGAUGCAUAGCCGACCUGAGAGGGUGAUCGGCCACACUGGAACUGAGACACGGUCCAGACUCCUACGGGAGGCAGCAGUAGGGAAUCUUACGCAAUGGGCGAAAGCCUGACGGAGCAACGCCGCGUGAGUGAUGAAGGUCUUCGGAUCGUAAAACUCUGUUAUUAGGGAAGAACAUAUGUGUAAGGAACUGUGCACAUCUUGACGGUACCUAAUCAGAAAGCCACGGCUAACUACGUG